UACGAAGGGGGCUAGCGUUGCUCGGAAUCACUGGGCGUAAAGGGUGCGUAGGCGGGUCUUUAAGUCAGGGGUGAAAUCCUGGAGCUCAACUCCAGAACUGCCUUUGAUACUGAGGAUCUUGAGUUCGGGAGAGGUGAGUGGAACUGCGAGUGUAGAGGUGAAACUCGUAGAUAUUCGCAAGAACCCCAGUGGCGAAGGCGGCUCACUGGUCCGGUACUGACGCUGAGGUGCGAAAGCGUGGGGAGCAAACAGG
rnacentral:rRNA from 1 species